CAAUAGCGUAUAUUAAAGUUGUUGCAGUUAAAAAGCUCGUAGUUGGAUUUCGGGACGGGCCAGUUGGUCCGCCGCAAGGUGUGUUACUGACUGGUCUGUUCUUCUUCGCAAAGACUGCGUGUGCUCUUCGUUGAGUGUGCGUAGGAUUUACGACGUUUACUUUGAAAAAAUUAGAGUGUUCAAAGCAGGCUAUCGCUUGAAUACAUGAGCAUGGAAUAAUGGAAUAGGACUUUGGUCCUAUUUUGUUGGUUUCUAGGACCGAAGUAAUGAUUAAGAGGGACAAUUGGGGGCAUCCGUAUUUCGUUGUCAGAGGUGAAAUUCUUGGAUUUACGAAAGACGAACAACUGCGAAAGCAUUUGCCAAGAGUGUUUUCAUUAA
rnacentral:rRNA from 1 species